rnacentral:rRNA from 1 species
UACGGGAGGCAGCAGGGGGAAUAUUGCACAAUGGGCGAAAGCCUGAUGCAGCUAUGCCGCGUGUAUGAAGAAGGCCUUAGGGUUGUAAAGUACUUUCAUCGGGGAGGAAAAACAAAACUAAUAAUUUUAUUUCUUGACGUUACCCGAAAAAGAAGCACCGGCUAACUCCGUGCCAGCAGCCGCGGUAAUACGGAGGGUGCUAGCGUUAAUCAGAAUUACUGGGCGUAAAGAGCACGUAGGUGGUUUUUUUAAGUCAGAUGUGAAAUCCCUGGGCUUAACCUGGAACUGCAUUUUGAAACUGAAAUACUAGAGUAUCGUAGAGGGAGGUAGAAUUCUAGGUGUAGCGGUGGAAAUGCGUAGAUAUCUGGAGGAAUACCUGUGGCGAAAGCGGCCUCCUAAACGAAUACUGACACUGAGGGUGCGAAAGCGUGGGGAGCAAACAGGGAUUAGAUACC